rnacentral:rRNA from 1 species
UACGUAGGGGGCAAGCGUUGUCCGGAAUCAUUGGGCGUAAAGAGCGUGUAGGCGGUCUGGUAAGUCCGUUGUGAAAGUCCAGGGCUCAACCCUGGAAUGCCGAUGGAUACUGUCAGGCUCGAGUCCGGAAGAGGCGAGUGGAAUUCCUGGUGUAGCGGUGAAAUGCGCAGAUAUCAGGAGGAACACCAAUGGCGAAGGCAGCUCGCUGGGACGGUACUGACGCUGAGACGCGAAAGCGUGGGGAGCAAACAGG